AGGGCACGAGGCAGGGGACACCUUGGACGGGAUGCCAGUCCAUCACAGGGCACGAGGCAGGGGACACCCUGGAUGGGAUGAUUUGCAGACUGAGGAAACAUUACCUCCCAUUGAUCUCCACCUCAAUAUAUAUGCUAAAACAAUGCAGUGUACUUGGCAUAAAAUUAUUGGUCAAUGUCCCAGAAUGGGACUGUCAUCUGAUUGCUCCCCAUUCUGGUACACCCUGCCCCCCUUUGUCCUACUUCAACCUUCACCCACAUCUCUGGAGACCCCAACCCACCGUGACUUUGAUGCUAGCCCUGAAGUACGUGCCGAUGGUUCAUCUUCAGCCUGGUCUCUUAGAUAAAUGAUCCUUUAUGACCAAUUUGCAUGUGUACAGAAUUGCAUGUAUAAUAAAAAUGAAUAUAUAUUUUUAAGUAGCAAUCUGUCAGCUAGGGCAGCAUUUAUCUAGGUAGCUUGCUUAUCAUCUAUGAAGAGCUAUAAAACAGAGAACUGAAGAGCUAUAUUUCACUAAUAUUGUGUUAAUACCAUUGAAUUACAUAACAUAAUUCAAUUCAAUUCUAUUUUUAUAUAGCGCUUUCACAGUUGGCCCGAAGUGCUUAAGAAGACUAUACUUUGACAAUACUGUUCAAAAAAACUUUUAGUACACAGACACAAAAUGUUUCAUGAUACCGGGAAAGAAAGGAUGAAAGAAUAAUUUAAAAGGCCAGAAGACAGCAGAGGAGAGGAGAGGACGUUGUCCUCGUCAUAAGGACAAUGAAUCUGUACGAUACCAAGUCGCUUAUUCUAGAGGGUUCUAAGGUGCAAAGUUCUUUUGUAGAAGACUAGAGGGAUUAAAAUACUGCUAUUGUGAGCUGGAGUAAACUGCCCUCGUAUCCUGCUGAGAAUCCAUUUUGCGAUUUCCAGAGAAAGAAUCGAUAUCGCAGCAGCGAUGAGGGGGGUGUUGUGUCUCUUUGUCGUGAGAGGGAAAAAAGGGUGAUAGAUAACAGCUGCUUAAUUUGCGGGCCCAGAAAAAAGGUCAUUGUUAAAGCCUGAGCUUUAGCUCCUACAAGCAUGCAUUUAAUGCACGGGAAAUUGUCUGGGCACAAUCUGAACCAGACGAUGGAAGAGAGAGUUAAUCUCCGCUGGGUCACUGUUCAUCUUUGGGGUCAGGAUAAGCGUGUAGAAGGAGGUCAGUGUGCUUUGGGUGAGGGGGUGUAGAGAGAGAGGAUGUGGGGAACGUGGGGGCAUGUUUAUAUUACAUUGUGGGGACCAAAUGUUCCCCGCAAUCUGAUAAAAACCUAUUAUGUUGACAUUGUGGGGACAUUUUUUUGGGUCAUCACAAUGGGAAACUCAAUUUUCUCAAAAUCUGUGAAUGCACUGAAAAAACUAAAAAUGCCAAAAGUCUGGUCUUUUGUUUGGUUACUUGUGGUUAAGGCUCGGGUUGGGGAGGGGUGAAGGUCGUCAUGUUAGGCUUAGGGUUAUGCCCAUAGAGAUGAAUGCCGAGUCCCCACAAAGAUAGGGGUACUGUGUAUAAACUCUGUGUGCCUGUAUCUGUCUGCAUGAGUGUGUCUGGCAGACCCCCUCCAGUCUCGGGUGCCCCCUCCCAUCUGUGUGUGCUCGCUGUCAGGACAGCAGCUCCCAGCCUCUCCCCCUCUCUCUCUGUCUUCCGCGGCUGAGCUGUGUUAUCCUGAAGAACAGCAUGCAUGUAGUCAGGCAUAUUGCGGUCACCACCUUGCAUGAUGCUGGACGUGGAUGUUUACCAGUGAUGUAGCUUGACCCUUGCGAAAGUUAAAAAAUUGCAGCACCAGUGUCUUUCUGGGAUGGUAUAUUGUCCAUCAGUUGCACGCUUCUGAAUUUCAAAGAAUGGAGUAUGUCAUCCGGGUACUGUUUGCCCACUGUGUCAUCCAUACUGAGGAUUUGGACAUAUUGUUUACUUCACAUGCUGCAUUUCACCUGCUCCAUAGCAAAGAAGUAUGCGAUUUCAGUGUGGAGUGACAGACAAUGAUCUAGGAGUGUCUGUGGAGAGGAAGCGGAGUCUGUGAUUUUGUGUGGAGUGACAGGGAGUGAGGUAGGAGUGUCUGGGGAGAGGAAGUGGAGCAUGUGAUUUUGUGUGGAGUGACAGGGAGUGAGGUAGGAGUGUCUGGGGAGAGGAAGUGGAGCAUGUGAUUUUGUGUGGAGUGACAGGGAGUGAGGAAAGGUGUGUAGAAAGAGGUAGUGUAGAGGGUCUGUGUUAUGAAAGAGAGACCACGUAGUAGAGAGUGUAGAGAGAGGAGGUACAGGAGGUGUGAGUGAGUAGAGAGAAUAGGAAUGAAGGAUGGUAGAUAUAUUUUGGACUUGAUUCCCGGUAAUAAAUCCUUCCGGGAGGCCCAGAGAAAGGGGUCACCCUGAACUAGCCCUAAAAACACCCAAACCCUGAGCCCUUGAAGUCCCUUUGGGUAUCAAGCUGACAAUAAAUGAUCCUCAGAACUGUAUUUGAGCUCAGAUGAAACGGCCAUGUGCUUGUGAUGAACCGGAUGUCAUCAGUGCAGCCCCACAGCUUUGCUGGAGGUCAGUUGAAAGGAAUCCAACCCUGACACAAAGGUUUCAUCGCUUGAGCUUAAGGAAUGUGCUCCUCACACAGAGGAAAUACACAAUGGCCGAGUGUGACUCUGUUCUUUCGGGGUUUCUCCGUCAGCCCUUGAGUAUAAUAGGCCAGAGGAUAGAUGACAACAAGGUGUUUGCGGAUGGUUAACGGGGGCUGACGAUACCGGCCCCAUGGCGGUCUGCACUGGUAACAGGUGUGUCAUUUCACAUCACAUCAUCUGUUUGCUUAUGGAAAAGGCGCCGUUCAAUAGGAUGGUUCGCUAAGCCUGUGAUUUUUAAUCUGUAUAGUGAUGGUCUAUUUUCUGAUCAUCUGCAGCCCCAUUCUGUCUUUUCUAUUAAGCAGUACAGGAGUAGUCAGAGUUUUUAAAAAGCUGCUGGGCUUAUUUUCCUGGAAUAGAUUCCCAUUCCUGGCCCUCUGUAGCUCCAAUACCCAAUAAGGGGUUAGAGUGGACCAGGAGCCUGUCCCAGGAGGCAGAAGGCAGGGGACACCAGACUGUCACAGACACUCUAUGGGCAAUUUGGGGGUGCCAGGACUGCAGGAGAAAUCACCACAUGUUUAUAAGCAAGACAUGCAUAUGACGCAGACGAGAGGUGGGAUUUGAACCCAUAGAGCUGGGAGGGUAUGAGCCAGUCACUGAGCCCCCAAGCUUACUACUCAAAAUCAUCAGCUCAGGCUUUUGUCAAACACACACUUUUGCUGUUGUGAUGCUACAACUGCAGGAUGUGAACUGCCGACCUUGAGGUCAUAGGCACAGAGGCCUAACCCAACGAGUCGCACACCAGCCGGAUGCAAGGCACAAGGAAUGAACAAGUUGUUCAGAACAGAAAAAAACACCUUGGUGUCAAGAAAUAGGAAAGGAGAUUUCCUAAUGAGCUUUAGAGCUGGAAGUCCAGGAGAGAUCUGGUACCAUGCAGAUUUCAGCCAUCGCAUACCGAAUACUGCUCCUCCAUGCCGAACCAUCAAUACAACUUAACGACCAUAGCACUGUCUAUCGCAAGCCAGCUUCUCAUUGGUUACCUCACCGGUGCCCACUCUCUUCCCACUGGUCCAGAGCAGACAUCCAACACACCAUUGGUUUUUCCAUCCUCGUUUCUCUGGCCCCUGCAUCUGGAUGUUUACUUGGACUAAAUCAGGUUAUGUGCUUUUCUCUAGAGGCAUGUUCCCCAAUCUGGGACUGAUAUUCCCAGUAGGAUUUGUUCCUUUAAGUUCCUUAAACACCCACGGUUGGAUCUAAAUCUGCGAAAAUAAUACAGAAGGCCUUAGAAAGGAAGACAUUAUAGGUGUCCCAGUAGAAGGAGAUCUUGGUCACCACCAAUUUUAGACCAAAGUGUCUAAAACCGGAUGCAAGAUUCUCAAAGUGUAAUCCUCAAUCAUAAAUCUGACUUACAUAUCACCCACAAUCAAGGGUGUAUACAGAGGCAGGGCCCUAGGGGCUGAUUGGCCACAGAAGUGCCCUUCCCCUGUCACUCACUGAUUAAAGACAUAUCAUUAGCUAAUCAUAUGGUUGGCCACGCAAUAUGAAUUAUGGCCCCCACGUUAAAAAAUCCUGGACUCCCCUGUAAUAGUAUGUGCAAACCUCUCAAAGUAAACAAAUAUACCAAACAAAAUUAAAGCAAAAAAACAAAAUGCAUUCAUGAUUGAUUGCUGUCUCUAUUUCAGGACGAACCUGUGCCCCUGGGGUCAUUCAUUAAGAGCAAUUUGCAUAAUUAAUGAGCUAAUCUGAACACCACUACCUGAUUGAAGAGGUCUGAGUCUAGGUGGAAAUGCUGAGCUGAAGCCAAAAGAAUUAGCACCAUUUGACAUAAAAAAGUGUCAUGAUUUCCAGCAAAAUAAGUUGAUAUUGACGAUAGCAGUUGGCAUCUACCAUUGUUUAUUCUAUAGGGCAAAUGCUUUGCUUUUGAUUUAUGGCUUAACAUAUUAUUAUACAUAAUAAAACAAAUGAGAAUAGCUUGGACAAAAAUAAUUGGACCCCUAACCUAAUAUUUUGUAUCACACCUUAUUGAAGCAAUAAUUGCCAUCGAGUCAACAGCUCCUUGAGGUGCAGACACCCAUGCCAAUGGAAAUGGACUGAUCUGAAAUGACUGAACAUUUGAAAAUGAGCCCUAAUCUGAUUGGUUCCAAUCUGAAAUGAAAUCUAUCUCUGCAAAUCAGGAACUUGCACGACAAACACAAAUCACACCAAUGAAGACAAUGCAAGUUGAUGAUUAUCAGUGCAGACGCGUGAAACAUCUUUUACAGUUUCUCUGUGUUGUAUGAAUUUCCCUCCACAAUCCAAAGACAUGCAGUGAACCUAACUGGUGAUUCAGUACUGCUGGUUGUGCAGGUAUGGGCCUUUCAUUGGACUGACAUCCCAUGUGGCGUGUCCCUCAGCCGGGUGAUUGGCCCCAAGCUUCCCCAUGACCCUCUCCAGGAUAAGUGGUUAGAAAAAUGGAUUGAUCUUCACAAUUCAGCCAAUUAUGUUAUUCAAGCCCCCCUGUAAAUUGCCUUAACCCAGUGCUCAUCUGUGUGAUUAAUUGAUAUUGAAAGGACAUCACCAUCACUUUGAUACCUGGUAAAAUGAAAUUCCGCAUGGCAUACGAUACAUACAUUCUCUUUUAAUUAGAAAUUCAAUUGAAGAUGUGUAACUUAAUUAUGCUAGCAAGACUUAAUCAUUUUUCUAGUUAUGUUAGGUCAAACGUAAUAAAUCUGUAUCCUUACUUUUUGUCUCUCUUUUUUUAAUUAAAUCUUUUAACCUCCAUGUG